GUGACAACCAACAUGGGAGAAGAGAACCAAGAACCAGGUCUGGCAGCAAGAAGCAUGAGCAAUAUCAAAACAGUUGAGAGGAGACAUUAGCUCAAGGGACAAGGUGUCAAACACCAUGGCUCAUCCACCCAGCCCUUCCUCAACUCCCGGAUUGGAUGCCCCCAGUGCUGCCACAGCUCUGCUCCCCACAUCUGAAUGCUCUGAACUGGACAACUCCAUGCACUCUAGAUGAAAAUCUCCACCUCGUUCCAGUGAUGAAACCUUUACCUCGGAUGAGCCUCAUCUGUUGGAAUUGUGUUGUUUUUUCAUCAGUAAUAAAUACCUUGAGGGAAGAAAUACA